UCACAAUAGAGAGGAGCCUGCUGUCCGAGCUAGUUAGCAAUAUGCUUGGCCCACGUGUCAGUGACUUUCAAUAUAAGGAUAAUACUACAGAGGAUCUCAAUUGAAAAUGGACAUGGAUUGGUAACAUUUACAUGGCUGAGAGCAGAGGCAGCGAUGGCAUUGACUGAUUCGGGGAAGGAAACAAUUGGGGCCUGGAUAGGACAAAAGAGAGCAUGUCUCCAGCCUCAAUCCACUAGAGCAUUAGUAAAGCUUUACAAAACUCUUUGGGAUUCAAUUCAUGUGGUCCGGUAAAUUUGGACAGAGCAAAUUAAACUAGAAUAAUGAGUACCUCAUCCAGAAUUCCAGAGUGAAGACGAGAUGCACAUUUGGAUUCAAGGCAGUCCCAUUAUCUGUCACAAAG
rnacentral:lncRNA from 1 species